rnacentral:lncRNA from 1 species
AACCUCUCGAGUAUGAGGGCGCGGGUUCGAUUCCAGGUCAGGCAAGUACCAAUGCAACUUUUCUAAGUUUGUAUGUACUUUCUAAGUAUAUCUUAGACGCCAAUGACUG